rnacentral:lncRNA from 1 species
AGUAGUAAUUAUAUAGGAGUUGUAGAAGUUUCUUAGGGUGCCAGACUGUAAUAGUCAUGAGCCGGGAUUAAGCUUGGUGCUACUUCUUUGUUUUCUUUGUUUUCUCUGUUGUUGAAGAGUAAUGGAUAGUUUUUGAAUACUGAGAAGUGAGUCUGUGGAAUAAACUAGAGAUUGAUUUAUGAGUUAUUGAUUAUAUAAUUGGAGUAUUAUGUGAUUGAAUUAUAUGAGAAG